CCCCAAACAAAUGACCUCCCGCAUCUCCCUCAACCAGUCCCCCGCAACCGGGCCAGCGCGCCGCACCUCCAUCAUUGCCCUAACCCCAGCCACGCCACCUUUGCCUGUCCCCACGCCCCCUCCCACAGGGCCAGGCAGUCCUGUGCCCCUCUCAGAUCGGCCCAACCACGCCGCCACCACCCCCAUUCCCCCUCCCUCUGCCACCACUGGCCUCGUUCCCCUCUUAGAUCGGCCUAGCCAUGACGCCGCCACACCCAAACCGCCAUGCCACCACACCACACUUAUGUUCCCUCACAAUGACAUCAACCACCUCAUCAUCGUCCAGGACGAUGACCCAGCAAGACCAUCCGUGUGCCCGAGGGCUUCAACUAUGAGCUCUACAACUGCAACAACAUCAACCACAUCCUCAGGCCCAAGGCCUCCUGCAUCUCCUUCAAGGACUCGACGUGCCGAUGCUUCGGCUACGUGGUCUCCAAGAAGAAGUACAUCUACACCAUCAACGACGACUACUUCUACUGGUCAGGAAAGGGGGGGGGGGGGGGGCGAGGAGGAUUACAGAGGAGUCGGUGCCAAGCUAGGAGACGAGAAAGCGGAGCAAGCUGGGCCACGGUGCAACAACAUCUGGUAAGAAACUACACUUCUGUCCCUACAAUCAACAACAGCAUUAAGAUGGAAGUAGGAACUGAAGAUUGCUUACAUAUUGAGUUUGAAUACAACAAAAGCAAAUGGAAGUAGGAAUUGAAGAUGGCUUACAUAUUGAGUUUGAAUACAGCAAAAGCAAGCAAGAUCAUAUGCAUGUCUAUUUGUCUGUUCUGAUAAGUUUCUUACUUUGGAAACCCAGUGGUGCUAUUAGAAGUUCUUCAAAAUUAUUAUGUUGAUACUAAUAACUCCAAAGCUUUUUUUUUUCUUUGUUGUAAAGAUCAGUCCCCUUAUAAAGCUUGUUGUUUUGCUGGGAAUGAUAGAUUUUAGUCAUGUCUGGUUUUAUUCUAGGAUCGGCUGUAGGGAUCCUCAUUAUUACAAAAGAACACCUUUUCUUCAGAUGUUCACAGCCACAAUAUGUCAUUAUGUAACACCACUUAUGGUUCAAAGUAUGAAUCUGAUCAGGUGCAGUUGGUGCUUUACUUUUUUUUUAAAGAGUUGGUGCCUUAGCUGCCUACCCAUGUUGGACCAUCUCCUCCACCAAA